CUACGUGCCAGCAGCCGCGGUAAUACGGAAGGUCCGGGCGUUAUCCGGAUUUAUUGGGUUUAAAGGGAGCGUAGGCCGCAUGUCAAGCGUGUUGUGAAAUGCAGGUGCUCAACACCUGGAUUGCAGCGCGAACUGUCGUGCUUGAGUGUGCGCAACGUUGGCGGAAUUCGUCGUGUAGCGGUGAAAUGCUUAGAUAUGACGAGGAACCCCGAUUGCGAAGGCAGCUGACGGGAGCAUAACUGACGCUGAAGCUCGAAGGUGCGGGUAUCGAACAGGAUUAGAUACCCUGGUAGUCCGCACGGUAAACGAUGGAUGCCCGCCGUCCGCCCUUUUAUUGGGCGUGUGGCCAAGCGAAAGCAUUAAGCAUCCCACCUGGGGAGUACGCCGGCAACGGUGAAACUCAAAGGAAUUGACGGGGGCCCGCACAAGCGGAGGAACAUGUGGUUUAAUUCGAUGAUACGCGAGGAACCUUACCCGGGCUUGAA
rnacentral:rRNA from 1 species